rnacentral:rRNA from 1 species
CCUACGGGAGGCAGCAGUAGGGAAUAUUGCUCAAUGGGGGAAACCCUGAAGCAGCAACGCCGCGUGGGGGAUGAAGGUCUUCGGAGUGUUAACCCCUUUUGGUAGAGAAGAAAAUGACGGUAGCUAACGAAUAAGCAACUGCCAACACCGUGCCAGCAGGCGAGGUAAUACGCAGGGGGCAAGCGUUACCCGGAAUCACUGGGCGUAAAGGGCGUGUAGGGGGGAUAGUAAGUCAGAUGUGAAAUCCUAUGGCUUAACCCUAGAACUGCAUUUGAAACUGGUAUUCUAGAGUGUGGGAGAGGUAGGUGGAAUUCUUGGUGUAGGGGUAAAAUCCGUAGAGAGCAAGAGGAAUCCUGAUUGCGAAGGCGACCUGCUGGAACAUAACUGACGCUGAUGCGCGAAAGCGUGGGUAGCAAACAGGAUUAGAUACCCUAGUAGUC